rnacentral:lncRNA from 1 species
CUUUUUCCUGUGACGCCCACACUGAGAAUGAUAAUGACUUGGCCUCUGGGGAGGAGGUAGAUGCUAUCGAAAUAAAUACCCAUCUUUCCUCCUCUCUUUGCUCCUCUAUUCCCUCCUCUCUCUGCUCCUCUCUUCCCUCCUCUCUUUCCUCCUCUCUCUGCUCCUCUCCUCUCUCUGCUCCUCUCUUUCCUCCUCUCUUUCCUCCUCUCUCUGCUCCUCUCUUUCCUCCUCUCUUUCCUCCUCUCUUUCCUCCUCUCUCUGCUCCUCUCUUUCCUCCUAUCUUUCCUCCUCUCUUUCCUCCUCUCUCUGCUCCUCUCUCUUCUCCUCUCUUUCCUCCUCUCCUCUCUCUUCUCCUCUCUUUCCUCCUCUCUUUCCUCCUUUCUCUGCUCCUCUCUUUUCUCCUCUCUCUGCUCCUCUCUUUCCUCCUCUCUUUCCUCCUCUCUUUCCUCCUCUCUCUGCUCCUCUCUCUUCUCCUCUCUUUCCUCCUCUCCUCUCUCUGCUCCUCUCUUUCCUCCUCUCUUUCCUCCUCUCUUUCCUCCUCUCUCUGCUCCUCUCUUUCCUCCUCUCCUCUCUCUUCUCCUCUCUUUCCUCCUCUCUUUCCUCCUCUCUCUCCUCCUCUCUUUCCUCCUCUCUCUGCUCCUCUCUCUUCUCCUCUCCUCUCCUCUCCUCUCUCUUCUCCUCUCUUUCCUCCUCUCUUUCCUCCUCUCUCUCCUCCUCUCUUUCCUCCUCUCUCUUCUCCUCUCUUUCCUCCUCUCCUCUCUCUUUGCUCCUCUCUUCCCUCCUCUCUCUGCUCCUCUCUUUCCUCCUCUCUUUCCUCCUCUCUCUGCUCCUCUCUUUCCUCCUCUCCUCUCUCUUCUCCUCUCUCUGCUCCUCUCUUUCCUCCUCUCUUCCCUCCUCUCUCUCCUCCUCUCUUUCCUCCUCUCUCUGCUCCUCUCUUUCCUCCUCUCUUUCCUCCUCUCUCUGCUCCUCUCUUUCCUCCUCUCUAUCCUCCUCUCUCUUCUCCUCCUCUCUUUCCUCCUCUCUAUCCUCCUCUCUCUUUCUUCCUCUCUUUCCUCCUUUCUUUCCUCUCUUUCCUCCUCUCUCUGCUCCUCUCUCUGCUCCUCUCUCUCCCUCCCUCUCUCUGCUCCUCUCUUUCCUCCUCUCUUUCCUCCUCUCUUUCCUCCUCUCUCUGCUCCUCUCUUUCCUCCUCUCUAUCCUCCUCUCUCUUCUCCUCCUCUCUUUCCUCCUCUCUUUCCUCCUCUCUCUACUCCUCUUUCCUCCUCCCUCUUCUCCUCUCUCUGCUCCUCUCUUUCCUCCUCUCUCUGCUCCUCUCUUUCCUCCUCUCUAUCCUCCUCUCUCUUCUCCUCCUCUCUUUCCUCCUCUCUUUCCUCCUCUCUCUACUCCUCUUUCCUCCUCCCUCUUCUCCUCUCUCUGCUCCUCUCUCUGCUCCUCUCUUUCCUCCUCUCUCUGCUCCUCUCUUUCCUCCUCUCUCUGCUCCUCUCUUUCCUCCUCUCUCUGCUCCUCUCUUUCCUCCUCUCUAUCCUCCUCUCUCUUCUCCUCCUCUCUUUCCUCCUCUCUUUCCUCCUCUCUCUACUCCUCUUUCCUCCUCCCUCUUCUCCUCUCUCUGCUCCUCUCUCUGCUCCUCUCUUUGCUCCUCUCUUUGCUCCUCUCUUUCCUCAUCUCUCUCCUCCUCUCUCUCCUCCUCUCUUUCCUCCUCUCUUUGCUCUUCUCUCUGCUCCUCUCUUUCCUCCUCUCUCUGCUCCUCUCUUUCCUCCUUUCUUUCCUCUCUUUCCUCCUCUCUCUGCUCCUCUCUCUGCUCCUCUCUCUCCCUCUCUCUCUCUGCUCCUCUCUUUUCUCCUCUCUCCUCCUCUCUUUGCUCCUCUCUUUCCUCCUCUCUUUCCUCCUCUCUCUGCUCUCUGCUCCUCUCUUUCCUCCUCUUUCCAUCUUUUUGCUUUGUCGUUCUUUGUCGUUCUUUCUUUCUUUCUAAAUGAAUCUGCUCCUAAGCUCCUAUAGGCUCUUACUCGAUCUGAUUUUCUGUCAGACAUCUCAGGCAAUGCUGACAGAAGACACAGACACACACACACACACACACACACACACACAGACACAGACACAGACACAGACACAGACACAGACACAGACACAAACACACAGACACAGACAUAGACACAGACACAGACACAGAGUGUGUGUGUGUGUGUGUGUGUGUGUGUGUGUGUGUGUGUGUGUCUGUGUCUGUGUCUUCUGUGCUUUUGAGAGUGUGUGUGUGUGUGUGUGUGUGUGUGUGUGUGUGUGUGUGUGUGUCUGUGUCUUCUGUGCUUUUGAGAGUGUGUGCCAAACACAAU